CCUACGGGCGGCAGCAGUGGGGAAUAUUGCACAAUGGGCGCAAGCCUGAUGCAGCCAUGCCGCGUGUGUGAAGAAGGCCUUCGGGUUGUAAAGCACUUUCAGCGGGGAGGAAGGCGUUAAGGUUAAUAACCUUGGCGAUUGACGUUACCCGCAGAAGAAGCACCGGCUAACUCCGUGCCAGCAGCCGCGGUAAUACGGAGGGUGCAAGCGUUAAUCGGAAUUACUGGGCGUAAAGCGCACGCAGGCGGUCUGUCAAGUCGGAUGUGAAAUCCCCGGGCUCAACCUGGGAACUGCAUUCGAAACUGGCAGGCUAGAGGCUUGUAGAGGGGGGGUAGAAUUCCAGGUGUAGCGGUGAAAUGCGUAGAGAUCUGGAGGAAUACCGGUGGCGAAGGCGGCCCCCUGGACAAAGACUGACGCUCAGGUGCGAAAGCGUGGGGAGCAAACAGGAUUAGAUACCCCAGUAGUC
rnacentral:rRNA from 1 species